rnacentral:rRNA from 1 species
UACAGAGGUCCCAAGCGUUGUUCGGAUUCAUUGGGCGUAAAGGGUGCGUAGGCGGCGCGGUAAGUCGGGUGUGAAAUCUCGGGGCUUAACUCCGAAACUGCAUUCGAUACUGCCGUGCUUGAGGACUGGAGAGGAGACUGGAAUUCCUGGUGUAGCGGUGAAAUGCGCAGAUAUCAGGAGGAACACCAGCGGCGAAGGCGGCGCUCUGGGCCGGAACUGACGCUGAGGAGCGAAAGCGUGGGUAGCAAACAGG